UACGUAGGGGGCAAGCGUUGUCCGGAUUUAUUGGGCGUAAAGAGCUCGUAGGUGGUUCGGUAAGUCGGAUGUGAAAUCUCCAGGCUCAACCUGGAGGGGUCAUUCGAUACUGCCGUGACUAGAGGUCGGUAGGGGAGUGUGGAAUUCCUGGUGGAGCGGUGAAAUGCGCAGAUAUCAGGAGGAACACCCGUAGCGAAGGCGGCACUCUGGGCCGAUACUGACACUGAGGAGUGAAAGCGUGGGGAGCGAACAGG
rnacentral:rRNA from 1 species